GGCUCAGUAGCUCAGUUGGUAGAGCAACGGACUGAAAAUCCGUGUGUCGGCGGUUCGAUUCCGUCCUGAGCCACCA
rnacentral:tRNA from 2 species